GGGGAUAUAGCUCAGUUGGGAGAGCGCUUGCAUGGCAUUCAAGAGGUCGUCGGUUCGAUCCCGAUUAUCUCCACCA
rnacentral:tRNA from 1 species